GAUGAGUGGAGGUUUAGUGCAUGUUUCCACAUCAUGACUAGAUCCACACUCAUCCA
rnacentral:pre_miRNA from 1 species